rnacentral:rRNA from 1 species
AAUAGAUACCCCGGUAGUCCAUGCCGUAAACGUUGGGCACUAGGUGUGGGGGCCAUUCCACGGUUUCCGCGCCGCAGCUAACGCAUUAAGUGCCCCGCCUGGGGAGUACGGCCGCAAGGCUAAAACUCAAAGGAAUUGACGGGGGCCCGCACAAGCGGCGGAGCAUGCGGAUUAAUUCGAUGCAACGCGAAGAACCUUACCAAGGCUUGACAUGUUCUCGACCGCCACAGAGAUGUGGUUUCCCCUUUGGGGCGGGUUCACAGGUGGUGCAUGGUUGUCGUCAGCUCGUGUCGUGAGAUGUUGGGUUAAGUCCCGCAACGAGCGCAACCCUCGUUCCAUGUUGCCAGCGGGUUAUGCCGGGGACUCAUGGGAGACUGCCGGGGUCAACUCGGAGGAAGGUGGGGACGACGUCAAAUCAUCAUGCCCCUUAUGUCUUGGGCUUCACGCAUGCUACAAUGGCCGGUACAAUGGGUUGCGAUACUGUGAGGUGGAGCCAAUCCCAAAAAGCCGGUCUCAGUUCGGAUUGGGGUCUGCAACUCGACCCC